rnacentral:rRNA from 1 species
AGUGAACGCUGGCGGCGUGCCUAAUACAUGCAAGUCGAACGGAGUGGCGCAAGGGUGAGUAAUAUAUAGCUAAUCUGCCCCUUGCUAGAGGACAACAGAUAGAAAUGACUGAUAAUACUCCAUAGCAAGGGAGGAGACGAUCACGUAUCAGCUAGUCGGCGGGGUAACGGCCUACCGAGGCGAUGACGCGUCACUGGUCUGAGAGGAUGAUCAGUAACAUUGUAACUGAGGCACGGUCCAAACACCUACGGCAAGGGGCAGUAGGGAAUAUUGCGCAAUGGGCGAGACCCUGAAGCAGCAACGGCGCGUGGAGGACGACACUUUUCGGAGCGUAAACUCCUUUUGUUAGGGAAGCGGUACCUACAGAAUAAGCACCGGCUAACUCCGUGCCAGCAGCCGCGGUAAUAC